rnacentral:rRNA from 1 species
CUUGCUUUCUUUGCUGGCGACCGGCGCACGGGUGAGUAACACGUAUCCAACCUGCCCUUUACUCGGGGAUAGCCUUUCGAAAGAAAGAUUAAUACCCGAUGGCAUAAUGAUUCCGCAUGGUUUCAUUAUUAAAGGAUUCCGGUAAAGGAUGGGGAUGCGUUCCAUUAGGUUGUUGGUGGGGUAACGGCCCACCAAGCCUUCGAUGGAUAGGGGUUCUGAGAGGAAGGUCCCCCACAUUGGAACUGAGACACGGUCCAA